rnacentral:rRNA from 1 species
AGAGUUUGAUCCUGGCUCAGGAUGAACGCUGGCGGUCUGCUUAACACAUGCAAGUCGAACGGGCUCUUCGGAGCUAGUGGCGGACGGGUGAGUAACGCGUGAGAAUCUGCCUUCAGGAGGGGGAUAACGACUGGAAACGGUCGCUAAUACCCCAUAUGCCUCCGGGUGAAAAGUAAUUCGCCUGAAGAUGAGCUCGCGUCAGAUUAGCUAGUUGGUGGGGUAAGAGCCUACCAAGGCGACGAUCUGUAGCUGGUCUGAGAGGAUGAUCAGCCACACUGGGACUGAGACACGGCCCAGACUCCUACGGGAGGCAGCAGUGGGGAAUUUUCCGCAAUGGGCGCAAGCCUGACGGAGCAAGACCGCGUGGGGGAUGACGGCCUAAUGGUUGUAAACCCCUUUUCUCUGGGAAGAAGACUGACGGUACCAGAGGAAUCAGCCUCGGCUAACUCCGUGCCAGCAGCCGCGGUAAUACGGAGGAGGCAAGCGUUAUCCGGAAUUAUUGGGCGUAAAGCGUCCGUAGGUGGUUAUUCAAGUCUGCUGUCAAAGCGUGGGGCUCAACUCCAUAGAGGCAGUGGAAACUGAGUGACUAGAGUGCGGUAGGGGUCGAGGGAAUUCCCAGUGUA